rnacentral:ncRNA from 1 species
UUAUUAUCAGCCCACCCUCAAUUUACACAUGCAAGUAUCAGCACACCCGUGAGAACGCCCUUCACCUUUUCAGGACAAGGAGCUGGUAUCAGGCACAGACUUAAACUCUAGCCCAUAACACCUAGCUUUGCCACACCCUCAAGGGUAUUCAGCAGUGAUUAACCUUGUUAAUAAGCGCCAGCUUGACUCAGUUAGAGGACUUAGAGCCGGCUAAUACGGUGCCAGCCGCCGCGGCUACACCGCUAGGCUCAAGUUGAUAAUACUCGGCGUUAAGCGUGUUUAAAGUACCAAAAGACUAGAACUAAACUUCAACCAAGUUGUGACACACUUGUUUUAAAGAAACCCGAAAACGAAAGUUGUUCUAACCUGACUACUUGAACCCACGACAGCUAGGGCACAAACUGGGAUUAGGUACCCCACUAUGCCUAGCCGUAAAAUAUUAACCUACACCACUUAACCGCCAGGGAAUUACGAGCCCAAGCUUAAAACCCAAAGGACUUGACGGUGUCCCACCCCCCUAGAGGAGCCUGUUCUAAAAUCGAUUCUCCCCGAUAUACCCGACCAUUUUUGGCCUAUCAGCCUGUAUACCUCCGUCGUAAGCUUACCAUAUGAACGACUUAGUGAGCUAAAAGAUUUUUCGUAAAUACGUCAGGUCAAGGUGCAGCCCACGAAAUGGCAAGCAAUGGGCUACAAUUUCUAUGCUAGAACACAACGAAAGGCUGUGUGCAACCCAGUCUUGAAGGCGGAUUUAGUAGUAAAAAGGAAGUAGAGAGUCCUUUUUAAUUAGGCGCUGGGACGCGUACACACCGCCCGUCACCCUCUUCAUAAGUACUAAACAAGUUUUUAACAAGAUUUUUCUAUGCAGAAGAGGUAAGUCGUAACACGGUAAGUGUACUGGAAAGUGCACUUGGAUUAACAAA